CCGCUUCCUUCCCCGAGUCUCUGCGAGAACACGAGAGCCCGCGUGAGGCAGAGGUGGCCGGGGGAGAGCGUUCGGGCAUUCAGGAAACAGAUCCCAGAGCCAGGUCUCCGGGAAGUACUGGCGGACCCGAGAACCCUCUGACGGAAGUGCCCCUCCGCUGGGCCCACUGGAUGAUGACGCAAAGGCCUCUGGAGGAACAACACCACCCCACGGUGAGACCAAGAAUAUGAGAAUUUUGGAAAACAGACGACUUCUGUUGAGGUGGAGGGACUACUAAAAAAAAAAAUACUACUCACAGAGCUGUUGCUCAGCUCUGUCUCUGGCCUCAGGAGAAGGACACUCUCAUCCACAGCCCGGAUAGCACACAGGGACCCAGGAGCUGCCUGCAGCUGCAGCUCCACAUCUGCCCCUGGAAGCUGCCGGGAAGAAGAUGCAUGACAUACACUCACCUUCCUUCUUACAGUUCAGAUGUUUCUGCCCCUCCAUCUGCAAACUCCCUCUCCCUAUUAACUAAAGAAGAGAAGAAAAUAACCAACAGCGCAGAAGUUGCGGUAAUUUCCCCUUGGCCCUACUUCUGGAAUGUCUCUGCAUCCCUCCGGGAGGGGAGGCUCCUACCACAGCUGCGAGCCUGCUCAACACUCCCCCGGCAUCCCUUGGCUUGACAAGGGCAGGUGCUGCCAGCAGGUCCUGAGGACUCUCCCUCCAGGGGGAGGACUGCUGAGAACCACGGGGGUCGAGGGGAGGUGUCUGGGAGCAGGAUGUCAUUCCUCACUAUAGAUGGCUGCCCGCCAUUUCUUGAAGAUUCCAGGUUUUAUUCUCUUAUAAUCCUUGUAACAUAAAGUGAGCUGAAGUCCAUCCUCAUAACCUUGUAUUGUGGCUCAGUUCAAAAUUCAGUGGCAAUGAGCUCACCUUAAACCCUCCCGAGCCCUUCUGGCAUUUGACCCUCUGGAGGAGAAACCUCCUUUGUUUAAAUUCUCCUUUCCUGUCCCCUCUCAUGUGAAACAGAAUCCCAGGAAAGUGUUGCCCACGCUCCUGUCAGGGGCUCCGUGGCCAAAGCUGUUCCGAAUGGCGCAGCCUCCACUCACGCCUUUCCCACGCCUCCCCACGCCUGUGCUGAAGACGGGCCUGUCACUCUGACUUGUCACGGCCCACCUGCCUCUCCUCAUUCCCCUGUGUCAGGACGACUGUUUUUAGCGGGAUGAAAACACUGAACUCACAGAAGCUACUGGAAUUAUCCAGAGGCGAGAGAGUCUCCCAGAGACUGAGAGGAGGAAUACACCUGGACUGGCUCGCUGGAGGAUGAGAGACAUGGAACACCAGCUUACAGCCAGCAGAUCCACGGACACAGCAGGAAACCCACCGGAAUUGUCAGAGCUGCCUAACUGCCCACCCCCGUGAGACCACAGGCUCCAGUUAGACUGCUCUACCCUGCACUGUGACCUGGCAGCUCUCUCCAGGUAGUAAGCAGCGGCAAUUACUGUGCUCACCUUUCUUGUCUUCCCUGUAAAGAAUCACUACCGUGCUAACUUAUUAUGUGUCCAGUAUUUGAAAACCAUUGUUUGAUAUGUCAUGUCCUGUGUUUUGGAUGGUGGGGAAAUCCAGGCUCCGUUAGUCCAUCUUGGCCGGAAGCAGAAGUGCUUUUGUCUAUGUUAUUGCAGUAGUCUCCUUGCUUCUACCUGUGACUUUCCAGAGUCUGUCAUCAAUAUGAUACCUAAGGCCGGGUGCGGUGGCUCAC